UUUCCAUAGGUGAACCUGCGGAAGGAUCAUUACAGAGUUCAUGCCCUCACGGGUAGAUCUCCCACCCUUGAGUAUUUAUACCUUAGUUGCUUUGGCAGGCCGUGGAAACACCAUGGGCUCCGGCUUAUGCGUGCCUGCCAGAGGAAACAAACUCUGUAUUUAGUGAUGUCUGAGUACUAUAUAAUAGUUAAAACUUUCAACAACGGAUCUCUUGGUUCUG
rnacentral:misc_RNA from 1 species